GAUCAUGGCUCAGGAUGAGCGCUAGCUACAGGCUUAACACAUGCAAGUCGAGGGGCAGCAUUUUAGUUUGCUUGCAAACUGAAGAUGGCGACCGGCGCACGGGUGAGUAACACGUAUCCAACCUGCCGAUAACUCCGGAAUAGCCUUUCGAAAGAAAGAUUAAUACCGGAUAGCAUACGAAUAUCGCAUGAUAUUUUUAUUUAAAGAUUUAUCGGUGAUGGAUGGGGAGUGCG
rnacentral:rRNA from 1 species